AUUGAACGCUGGCGGCAUGCCUUACACAUGCAAGUCGAACGGCAGCACGGGUGCUUGCCCCUGGUGGCGAGUGGCGAACGGGUGAGUAAUACAUCGGAACAUGUCCUGUAGUGGGGGAUAGCCCGGCGAAAGCCGGAUUAAUACCGCAUACGAUCCACGGAUGAAAGCGGGGGACCUUCGGGCCUCGCGCUAUAGGGUUGGCCGAUGGCUGAUUAGCUAGUUGGUGGGGUAAAGGCCUACCAAGGCGACGAUCAGUAGCUGGUCUGAGAGGAGGACCAGCCACACUGGGACUGAGACACGGCCCAGACUCCUACGGGAGGCAGCAGUGGGGAAUUUUGGACAAUGGGCGAAAGCCUGAUCCAGCAAUGCCGCGUGUGUGAAGAAGGACUUCGGGUUGUAAAGCACUUUUGUCCGGAAAGAAAUCCUUGACUCUAAUACAGUCGGGGGAUGACGGUACCGGAAGAAUAAGCACCGGCUAACUACGUG
rnacentral:rRNA from 1 species